GCUUAUUGAUGAGUUAACAUAAGAUUGCGGAGCCUAAUAUAACCGCGCACAUACUUUAAACGACAAAUAACCUUCCCUUACUUUUGCUGCGAAGCAGCUCCCUUUCGUUUCUCCAGGUAGAAGAAGCCAGCUAGAGACACAAUAGAGAAAACAGAGAAGCACACAGAUGCAAUAUCAAGGGAGACGUGGCGUCCAGUGAUUGCCUCUACUUCAAACAAGUUCGUUUUCUUUCCAUCAUUAGUGCUUUGGCCAUAGGCAACUUCUUUCUCCUCUGCAUUAUAAACAUAAGCCCUUACAAAGUAUGUUGCUGUUGGGAUAUCUCUUUCAACAGUCCAAGUAACCGAAUCCGUCUCAGGUUUGUAAUCCCUUUUCACAAUCUUGUGUUGGCAAGUUCUGUCCUUCUUAAGCUCAUCUUUUGUUUUGCGCCAUCCGCGGUCUUUUUGGCUGAUGGGAGCAUAGCAGAGCUUUACCUUAACAGUCUUGUACGCCGAAUCUGUUCCAGCGGGAUAGGUUUUGUUGAAAGACCAUGUCACAGUGAUGUUUGCUUCUCCAGCUUUCAAGACUGCAAUUCAAUUUCUCAACCAAAUCAAUAAACUAUCCAUUUCAUUAAUUUAAGAUAUAUCAAAAAUAAAUCUUGAUAGUAUAAAUUACACAUGAAAAAGUUAUGUAGAGAUCAUUUUAUUAUUGGAGACAUCAGAGACCACGUAUGUACUGCUUGCAGAACAUAUUUUGCUAUUAAUAUAUUUUACAAUGUUCUGUCCAAAGUCUCCGAUUAAAACUCAACACAUGUUACACAUGCAUAAAAAUUAACUACCAAUAAGGAAAUAUUUGAUCUACACAUACCUUGUCCGCUUUUAGGUGAAGAUGUGAGAAGUAUAGAUUUCUGCAGCGCUGAGAAGGUUCCGCUAGCAUAGCAACUCAACGCGAAGGAGGACAGCAGAAUUGAAGCUACAAACAGUAGAGUCGAGGCCGCCAUCGUAAGAGAGCAAAUAAACUGAGUAAUGAGUGAUGAUGAGAUGAGAUAAGAGGAUGUGAAGAGAUGGGAAUGUUAAGUUUAUGGUGCAGGGGCUUGGUACUUAUAUAGAGGACGGCCACAAGGACAAAGAGGGCGAGGAAAUGGUCACUGGACUGCCUUUUUGGUUUUUAAUAAUCAUAGUCAAAACAAAUGAAAAUUGCCAGCUUUUACGAAUUUACAAACGAUUCUUAGAAUAAUGCCUGAUAAUUAGAUGAUACUUAGAUGUUGCAUUGGCUACCAAGCUUGCUCAAGGGGUGGGGGACGUGGGGUUAUGUUGAUAUAAAAGGUAAGGUAUUGGGGUUUAGUUUAUUAAUAUUGACUUUUACAUGGAUUAUCAUUCGUUGUUGUAUGUUCAUCUGUCAUGUUUCAUAUUUGAUAGCAUUGGAGUGCUGAGAUUUUUUCUGAUUUUGUUAAUUUUUCACAAUGUCUGUUGGCCGUGUAAAGACUAAAAGAGCAAAUGACAAUAGACAGCGGAGACUCGAGAUCAUCAAGUGGAUUUGUGGUACAAGUGAAAGGAUUAUUCUGAGUCUUAAAAUUCAAAAUUUGGCCCCGGUUUCUCCAACUAGGCUAUCAAGGUUUCCAAAGAACCAAAAGCGACGACUUUUAUUAGCCGAAGAAGUAAAACUUAUUUUUGGUAUCCAUAUUGCAAUAGUUUUAAACCCGUUGGAGCAAGGUUAUAUAGUUCAAAUUUUACUUUUUGUAAUUUGAAUUUUAACAUCAUUUUAUUAAUAUUUUAAUAAUUUUCUCUAAUCGCCUCUAGAAUUUAGAAUACAUAUUUUAUUCAUCCAAGUGACAGAGCCUAUGAGACGUUGAUUUAUCAACAAAGCCUUCCAAGUUCUAGGAAUUGCAAUUUGUAAAAGAAAGUAAAAUCAAGUCCAACAAUGUCCUCGAUUAAUAUCCUAAAUCAAAAUUUAAGACAUUUGAGCAGUGUUCCAAUAAUUUUCCGAUAGUAUUUUAAAACACUAGGACAAAAACAAAUGUCUUAUUUUUGAGCCACUACUAUGCAUGUCCCAAAACUAUUUCUAUCAUUAGAAAAUUAUCAUCCUUCCAUUUCAACACAUAUCUCUCCUCUCUGCUUUUCAUUUUCCUCCAAUAAUAAUUCAAAUAUAUUACUAUUUCAAUGAUAAGACAUGUUAUUGGAGUUGAUAUAUUAAAAUGAUUUCUUAAAUCAAUAGAACACUAUUUUUAUUAUGUUUGUACAAUACUCACUAAAUACGAUUUUAACUUAGGCAAUAAAUAGAAUUUGCAACCUCAUUUUCAACAACAUUUACAACAGUUAUAAAUAGAAAUUUUAUUUGCAAUAUAUGCAACCUCAUUUGCAACAGUUGCAAAUUGAUGUUGCAAGUGAAAUUGCAAAUUGUAUUUUUAUAAAUAAUUUGUAAAAAAUAAUAAUUUAAAAAAAAUAUCCACUUGACAGUAUUUUUGUAUAUGUUUUGUAAAAAUUUAGUAUUUUUAUAAAUAUUCCAUUUUAUUUUUUCAUUUAUAAAAAGAAGAACAUUUUUUAUCAUAUGUCGGGUAUAUGAUAACUUACUAUUUACUUUAGAGUAGAAAAACACCAAAAUUAAGAAGAUUCAUAUUUAUUUAUAUGAAAUUUUAAUUCACUUUCAGUUUGUCUUUUAUAAGUUAUACAUUUGUUUAUAAGAUUUGUUUAAAUAUUAAUAAAUGUAGUUGACAAUAAUUUUACUUUUUAACUAAUUUUAAAUUAUAUUUAAAAGGAUUAUAAUAGAGAUUCGUAUUAUAUAUAAUACAUCACAAGUGUUUUUAAUUUUUGAAACUGUUUAAUUAAUAAUCAAUAAAUAAUAAGUCUUCACUUGUUAUAAACUUGUAAUUAUCUCCAACUUAUAACACAAUUACAUUUGAUAACUCACAUAACAUUUUUCUACCAUCACUCACUAUAAUCUCAAAUAAUACAUUACAUAUAAUUAUUUGCACUAUCCAAGUAACAAUCAAUUUCCAUAUCUACUUCAAAUUGUAUCUUUAAUCAAACCCAAAACUUCUAGCUUUGUAAAAUCUAUGCAAUCUCAUGACAAACUACUUCUUCAAUAGACCUAAUUCGAGCAUCAAUCAAAGCUCAAUGUCAAGCAAUUGCCUUUCGGUUACUUUAAACGACAAAUAACCUCCCCUUACUUUUGCUGCGAAGCAUUUGCCUUUCGUUUCUCCAGGUAGAAGAAGCCAGCAAGAGACACAAUAGAGAACACAGAGAAGCACGCAGAUGCAAUAUCAAGGGAGACGUGGCGCCCUGUGAUUGCCUCUACUUCAAACAAGUUCGUUUUCUUUCCAUCAUUAGUGCUUUGGCCAUAGGCAACUUCUUUCUCCUCUGCAUUGAAAACAUAAGCCCUUACGAAGUAUGUUGCUGUGGGAAUAUCUCUUUCUACAGUCCAAGUAACCGAAUCGCUCUCAGGUUUGUAAUCCCUUUUCACAAUCUUGUGCUGGCAAGUUCUGUCCUUCUUAAGCUCGUCUUUUGUUUUGCGCCAUCCGCGAUCUUUUUGGCUGAUGGGAGCAUAGCAGAGCUUUACCUUAAC
rnacentral:lncRNA from 1 species